UACGGGGGGAGCAAGCGUUGUUCGGAUUUACUGGGCGUAAAGGGCGCGUAGGCGGUCGUGACAAGUCACUUGUGAAAUCUCCGGGCUUAACUCGGAACGGUCAAGUGAUACUGUCGGACUAGAGUACAGAAGGGGCAACUGGAAUUCUCGGUGUAGCGGUGAAAUGCGUAGAUAUCGAGAGGAACACCUGCGGCGAAGGCGGGUUGCUGGGCCGUAACUGACGCUGAGGAGCGAAAGCAUGGGGAGCGAACAGG
rnacentral:rRNA from 1 species